GAUGAACGCUGGCGGCGUGCUUAACACAUGCAAGUCGAACGAUGAAGCCCAGCUUGCUGGGUGGAUUAGUGGCGAACGGGUGAGUAACACGUGAGUAACCUGCCCUUGACUCUGGGAUAAGCGCUGGAAACGGCGUCUAAUACCGGAUACGAGCCUCCACCGCAUGGUGAGUUGCUGGAAAGAAUUUCGGUCAAGGAUGGACUCGCGGCCUAUCAGGUAGUUGGUGAGGUAACGGCUCACCAAGCCGACGACGGGUAGCCGGCCUGAGAGGGUGACCGGCCACACUGGGACUGAGACACGGCCCAGACUCCUACGGGAGGCAGCAGUGGGGAAUAUUGCACAAUGGGCGCAAGCCUGAUGCAGCAACGCCGCGUGAGGGACGAAGGCCUUCGGGUCGUAAACCUCUUUUAGCAGGGAAGAAGCGAAAGUGACGGUACCUGCAGAAAAAGCACCGGCUAACUACGUG
rnacentral:rRNA from 1 species